rnacentral:rRNA from 1 species
GACGAACGCUGGCGGCGCGCUUAACACAUGCAAGUCGAACGAAGGCUUCGGCCUUAGUGGCGCACGGGUGCGUAACGCGUGGGAAUCUGCCCAAAGGUUCGGAAUAACUCGGGGAAACCCGAGCUAAUACCGGAUGAUGUCGCAAGACCAAAGAUUUAUCGCCUUUGGAUGAGCCCGCGUCGGAUUAGCUAGCUGGUGAGGUAAAGGCUCACCAAGGCGACGAUCCGUAGCUGGUCUGAGAGGAUGAUCAGCCACACUGGGACUGAGACACGGCCCAGACUCCUACGGGAGGCAGCAGUGGGGAAUAUUGGACAAUGGGCGAAAGCCUGAUCCAGCAAUGCCGCGUGAGUGAUGAAGGCCUUAGGGUUGUAAAGCUCUUUUACCCGGGAUGAUAAUGACAGUACCGGGAGAAUAAGCUCCGGCUAACUCCGUGCCAGCAGCCGCAGUAAAAC